rnacentral:rRNA from 1 species
GACGAACCGUGCGAACGUUGUUCGGAAUCACUGGGCUUAAAGGGCGCGUAGGCGGGCCGCUAGGUCCGGGGUGAAAGCCCCCGGCUCAACCCGGGGAAGUGCCUUGGAUACCGGCGGUCUGGAGGGGAUAGGGGCCCGCGGAACUUCGGGUGGAGCGGUGAAAUGCGUUGAUAUCCGAAGGAACGCCGGUGGCGAAAGCGGCGGGCUGGAUCCCUUCUGACGCUGAGGCGCGAAAGCCAGGGGAGCAAACGGG